rnacentral:ribozyme from 12 species
CAAAUAAAUUCUUACUUAUAAAGCAACAAUCCCAAGAUAGCUUCCGAUAAAGACUAAAGAUAUAGCUAAUGCAAAUGUCUCGAUUGGUCAAAAUAUAUCCAUGAUUUUCAUUUUUGCUUCCUUUUUACCUUUAUUCUUUGCCCUUUC